UACGGAGGGUGCAAGCGUUGUCCGGAUUCAUUGGGUUUAAAGGGUGCGCAGGCGGCGCGUUAAGACAGGUGUGAAAGCCCCGAGCUUAACUUGGGAAUUGCGCUUGUGACUGGCGUGCUGGAGUGUGGCAGAGGGAGGUGGAAUUCCACGUGUAGCAGUGAAAUGCGUAGAGAUGUGGAGGAACACCGAUGGCGAAGGCAGCCUCCUGGGCCAGCACUGACGCUCAUGCACGAAAGCGUGGGGAGCAAACAGG
rnacentral:rRNA from 1 species